rnacentral:rRNA from 1 species
UACGUAGGGUGCGAGCGUUGUCCGGAUUUAUUGGGCGUAAAGAGCUCGUAGGCGGCCUGUCGCGUCGGAUGUGAAAGCCCGGGGCUCAACCCCGGGUCUGCAUUCGAUACGGGCAGGCUAGAGUGUGGUAGGGGAGAUCGGAAUUCCUGGUGUAGCGGUGAAAUGCGCAGAUAUCAGGAGGAACACCGGUGGCGAAGGCGGAUCUCUGGGCCAUUACUGACGCUGAGGAGCGAAAGCGUGGGGAGCGAACAGG